rnacentral:pre_miRNA from 2 species
GAUUUCAACUGAAAAAGUAAUCAACAACAAAAUUGUGUAACUCAUCAAGAUCUAUAACUUUUAUUUUGGUCUUUUUUUCAUCCGACAAAGUGAUACAUUGUUCACAAAAUUUAUAUAUCUCACAUUUGGUUUUAGAAACUAUAAGAGAGAUAUCUAAAUUUUAUAAAUAAUAUUACUAUCACUUUGUCGGUUGAACAAAUGACCAAAAUAAAAGUUGUAUAUGUCUUGAUGAGUUCUACAACUUUUAUGUUGAUGACUUUUUCAUCUGAAAUU